ensembl:lncRNA
CAACUCCGGCCCUCUGUGAAGAUCCUUAGAGAGUAGUCACCUUGCACUCCUACCAUGGGAAUGAAAGGGGUGCUGGGGGAGCUCUCUUCCAUCCGCACAGACUUCGAAGCUGGAAGGACCCGGGCUAUCCCCCACCGCUUUGUGUUGACGUCUCCCUCAUUUCUAGGAAUGCCCCAGUCCUGUUACUAUAUUUGGAGACAGCUUCUAGGAAAAGGUUCUCCCCCUAUCUCCACCCCACCCCCAAAUCACAUUUCCCUUACUCUCAGUCUCUGCCUGUCUCUCCGGUGCUCUGGAGUCGCCGCAGCUACCAACACUACCACCACUCCCCCCACCCCCCACUCCCGCCCCUGCCAACCCCAGCCCAGCCCAGCCCAGCUCAGCCCCCGCCUCUCGCAGCCCCUGCUAUAGGGCGGUCGGCCUGGGUCCCCGCUCUAGGGCGCUGGGCAGCUUUGCCACAACGUUGCAGAAAGGAGAGUAAAGCCGAGCAGGGGAGGACCUAGAGCUGGUUGGGGUGAUAGGGGGUGGGGGUGGAGGGGAGCUGUCUUUGUGGCAGCAGAGGAGGCUGAGCGCAGCAACAUCUCCCUUUCUAUGGAAAAGGAAUUCUUUCUUUUUUCUUUUGCACUUUUAAUUUUCAUUUUUGUAGGGGAGGGGACCAUCCUAGGAGUGAGGAGUGUGAAUGAGGGGGGAGGAUGUCUUUUCCGCCUCUCCCUCCCUUUGCCCCUCCUGCCCCUCUCUACCCCCCGCGGUACUGGAUGUGGCCUCCGGGUAGAUCAUGGCGUGAUCGAGGUGAAGAAAUGUUUGCGGGGAGCCUGACUGGGCGAGAUGGCAGAAUGAGUCAGGGAUCUGCUGGGGAUCGAGGCGGCACCCGGGCCAGGGCAGUACAGGCUGGCGGCUGGCUCUCUCCCCGCCCCUCGGCCCCCACCUUCCCCAGCAGUGACAGGCGGAGCAGGGGAGCGCUCCCUGCAGACCCCUGGGAGGAGGGAUUCGCUGUGGAAGUGGAUUAUGAUCUACCCCUCAGGCUUCUCCUGCUAUCUCCUGGCUGCAUACAUACGAACAGACUUGAAAUGGACUCCUUUCACAUCUCUGCUUGUUGAAGCCCUUCAAGGACCAACUCAGAGAAAUUAUUUCAGGUAUAGAAUCAGAAGCUGGAGAGAAGUUUGUCGCUGGAAUCAAGGUAUCACGUUGUUCAAGGCCCUCCUUCGAAGUCCAGCUUCAUGGCAGGUGGUGUUGAUGUGUCUUGUUGAAGCCCAGGAAGCUCACCUCCCUGUAGAAAGGAGCCGGUCUAGAGAAGACCAGCCAACAGGCAGAAAUUGGGAGUUUGAAGUGAAUAUGGUACCUGUAGUGAAGAGUAAGUGGCAUCAAUAAAACUAUUUUUUAAAAAACAAGGAAGGAAGAAGGAAAGGAGUCCUUGGCUUGUUGUAAUCAAUCAGUUUACAGUCCACAGAACAAUUCUAACAUUCUAUAACCCUGAGCAAAGUGCUUCAUUUCUCUCAGUGUCCAAUGACUUAUUUGUUAUGAGGGUCACUUAGAAGCCUAGGCUCAUGGGGGUUUGCAUUGGACUGAAAUUCGGAAGUCCUGAGUCCUGUUCACAUUCUAUUACUUAAACACACUGUGACCUUAGGUAAGUCACUCUACCUCCAUAAGGCUGAAAUUCUCUUAUUAAGCUACUUGAGGUAGGAACUAUUUCAUUUUUUAUCUCUGUUUCCCUCAGUGUCACGCAUGGCAUAAAGUUGGUGUGUUUACUUAUUGCUUACUGAUUGAUUGGUUGACCUAUAAAAUGAAGAGGUUGGACUAGAUAAUAAUCUCUAGGUUGCCUAGAUCAUGAAAGAGAACAUGGUAUAAUGGAUAGGUCAUUGGAUUUGGAGUCAAUAAGACUCAGGUCCAAAUUUUACCUGUGUCUGUGAUCCUGAGAAACUUAACUUCUCUCUACUCAUCUGUAUAGAAUGAGGGUUUGUUCGGGGAUAGGAUAAUUCGAUGGCUUCCCAAAGUCCCUUUUGGGCAGCCAGAUGGCACAGUGUAUAGAGUGCUGGACCUCCGAGCAGGGCAAACCUGAGUUCAAAUCUGGUCUCAGACACUUACUUACUAUGGAACCCUGAAUAAGUCAUUUAACAUGGUUUACCUCAGUUUUCUCAUCUGUAAAAUGAACUGGAGAAGGAAAUGGUAAACUACUCCAGUAUCUUUGCCAAGAAAACUUCCAAUUGGUCAUGAAGAAUCAGACACGACAACAACAGCAAUAAGGACCCUUUUGUUUCCAAAUUUAUGACUAUAAUCCAA